UCCUGGUGGCUCAGACGGUAAAGCGUCUGCCUCCAAUGCGGGAGACCCGGGUUCAAUCCCUGGGUCAGGAA
rnacentral:tRNA from 1 species